GACGUAGGGCGCGAGCGUUGUCCGGAUUUAUUGGGCGUAAAGAGCUCGUAGGCGGCUUGUCGCGUCGUGUGUGAAAUCUCAGGGCUCAACUCUGACAUUGCAUACGAUACGGGCAGGCUUGAGUUCGGUAGGGGAGACUGGAAUUCCUGGUGUAGCAGUGAAAUGCGUAGAUAUCAGGAGGAAUACCGAUGGCGAAGGCAGGUCUCUGGGCUGACACUGACGCUCAUGCACGAAAGGCGUGGGGAGCAAACAGG
rnacentral:rRNA from 1 species